CACCGAAGCUGCGGCAGCGACGCUGAUGCGUUGUUGGGUAGGGGAGCGUUCUGUAAGCCUGUGAAGGUGUGCUGUGAGGCAUGCUGGAGGUAUCAGAAGUGCGAAUGCUGACAUAAGUAACGAUAAAGCGGGUGAAAAGCCCGCUCGCCGGAAGACCAAGGGUUCCUGUCCAACGUUAAUCGGGGCAGGGUGAGUCGACCCCUAAGGCGAGGCCGAAAGGCGUAGUCGAUGGGAAACAGGUUAAUAUUCCUGUACUUGGUGUUACUGCGAAGGGGGGACGGAGAAGGCUAUGUUGGCCGGGCGACGGUUGUCCCGGUUUAAGCGUGUAGGCUGGUUUUCCAGGCAAAUCCGGAAAAUCAAGGCUGAGGCGUGAUGACGAGGCACUACGGUGCUGAAGCAACAAAUGCCCUGCUUCCAGGAAAAGCCUCUAAGCAUCAGGUAACAUCAAAUCGUACCCCAAACCGACACAGGUGGUCAGGUAGAGAAUACCAAGGCGCUUGAGAGAACUCGGGUGAAGGAACUAGGCAAAAUGGUGCCGUAACUUCGGGAGAAGGCACGCUGAUAUGUAGGUGAAGUCCCUCGCGGAUGGAGCUGAAAUCAGUCGAAGAUACCAGCUGGCUGCAACUGUUUAUUAAAAACACAGCACUGUGCAAACACGAAAGUGGACGUAUACGGUGUGACGCCUGCCCGGUGCCGGAAGGUUAAUUGAUGGGGU
rnacentral:rRNA from 1 species